CUGAUUUAAGGAAACGUGGUUGCGCGGAUCGCUGAGUGAGAUGACUGGGUGCGACGUAGGUUGCGCCCUGAUGAAUCAGAUACGCUCUCUAAAGGAGGCUGGAUAGAAGUGAUAAACAAAUGAAGACAGAAGCAUCCUCAGAAUUUAUCUUUUCAACAUUUCAAGGGCAGUUCGGUCCUCUUCAAGCUGAUUGGAUUUUCCAUGGAAGAGGUGCCUGCAGCGUUGAUAAUGGAAGAGAGGAGAAAAUUAAAUUCACCUGUGCUGACCAAGUGGCAGAAGAGGACAAUCCAAUGUCAAAGAAAAGAUAUUUCAAAAGUUCAU